CCUGUGUGACUCUGAGGACACGACCACCACCCUGGCAGGAGAGGAGCGGCGCAGGAUGUCCUCCAGCAGCUGGACGAGAUAGAAGUGCCCCAGGUGGUUCACCUGGAAGGUGGACUCCAGGCCGUCCUCCGUCAAGCACCACGAAGAACCAAAUAUGGCAGCAUUGCAGACCAGGAUGUGAAGAGGCAUAUUCUUGGAUUUGAAUGCUUC
rnacentral:lncRNA from 1 species